GAUGAACGCUAGCGGCAGGCCUAAUACAUGCAAGUCGAACGGUGUCUUCGGACAUAGUGGCGCACGGGUGCGUAACACGUAUGCAACCUACCCUACAUUGGGGGAUAGCCUUUCGAAAGGGAGAUUAAUACCGCAUAAGACAGUAGCUGGGCAUCCAGCAGCUGUUAAAGAUUUAUCGAUGUAAGCUGGGCAUGCGUCCAAUUAGCUAGUUGGUGAGGUAACGGCUCACCAAGGCAAUGAUUGGUAGGGGAACUGAGAGGUCAAUCCCCCACACUGGCACUGAGGAACGGGCCAGACUCCUACGGGAGGCAGCAGUAGGGAAUAUAGAGCAAUGGACGCAAGUCUGACCCAGCCAUGCCGCGUGCAGGAUGAAGGCGUUGUGCGUUGUAAACUGCUUUUAUACAGGAAGAAACGACACUUGCGAGAGGCAUUGACGGGACUGUAUGAAUAAGCACCGGCUAACUCCGUGCCAGCAGCCGCCGUAAGAC
rnacentral:rRNA from 1 species